rnacentral:sRNA from 1 species
GACAACAUGAUUUUUAAGAGCCAAAGUAAUUUUGAUGUAUUGUAAGUUUGGGAACUACUGGUCUAAUACCCCUGACUUAAUAUCACAUUCCUGAUAAAUAUUACUAAAUGUAAGUCACAUCAUGUCUGAUUCAUCAUACUUAUAUUUUGCACCUUCUUACCUUCUUCUGUUAUUAAUUUGUUGCUUUUUCAACUUAUAUUUUAGAUUGAGGGUACAUAUGCAGGUUUGUUACAUGGCAUACUGCAUGAUGCUGAGGUUUGCGGUAUGAUUGAACCUGUCACCCAGGUAGUGAGCAUAGCACACAACAGGUAGUUUUUCAACUCUUGCCCCCCUCUCUCCCUCCUCCAAAAUCUAUCUUAAGUGCUAUGGUAUAUACAAGAAGGAAGACACAAAACCACGUGGGCUUUUUUUUUUUUUCUUUUUUUUCUUUUUGAGAUGGAGUCUCACUUUAUUGCUAGGCUGGAGUGCAGUGAUGUGAUCUCAGCUCACUGCAACCUCCGCCUCCCAGAUUUAAGUGAUUCUCCUGCCUCAGCCUCCCAAGUAGCUGGGACUACAGGCGUGCACCACCACGACCAGCUAAUUUUUGUACUUUUAGUAGAGACGGGGUUUCACCAUGUUGGCCAGGAUGGUCUCCAUCUCUUGACCUCAUGAUCCGCCCACCUCGGCCUCUCAAAAGUGCUGGGAUUACAGGUGUGACCCACCGCGCUCAGCCCACAUGGGCUCUUUUAUCUCAAUUUGUGUGUGUGUGUGUGUGUGUGUGUAUGUGCAUAUUAUAGGUGUGUGUAGGAAAAAGAAUGUUAGAAAUGUACCAAUUUUGAAGGCGUAGACUAUGAAAUUACAAAUGCUUCAAAAUUUUCUUCCCAAUACUUACGUGGCAUUUUAUAAAUUUCCACCAAUAAACGUGUAUUAUUUUUAUUGAAAAAGCAUAUUUUUAACAUGCCCUUCUAGAUGCCCUCCUAGCCAGACUGAAUCACCUCCCAUUUGAUUUUUCUUAAUUUUCUACCUUUAGGUUCUGGCUCAUUCAUUAACAUCAAUUUCCAUUCAUAAGUCCUCACAAACCCACUUUUCCUCUUGCCUGAGUGCCUCACAUACCCUACUGCCUGAGACGGUUCCAGAGGCGGCCUCCUCUCUCCCUUAGAAACACCAGGCACACACCUGCCCCCAGUCUCGCCUGCACUCUCCUUUCCUCCCGCAGAGAGGCAUUCCUUUCUCCUCCUCUCAUCCUACACACACUAUAAGAGACAACUGAAAUCUUGCCUCCUCCAGCCAGCUUCUUAAUUCAUUUGUUCUCAAAGCCCUGGUUUGAGCUCACACAGCAUCUAGAGUGUUUUACAAAAUAUAAAAUAUUAUUAUCCCUGCCCUGAAUUUUUUGUUUUGGUAUGUGUGUUAUUUUCCCCUCCAAUAAGAUUGUGCCUUGGAGAGGGCUGAGAACAUAGUAUCAUAGAUAAAUGAAUAAAAUAACAUAAAAUAAAAUAAAAAUACAUAUACCCUUUGAACUAACUAUUCCACUUCUAUGUAAGCACAAUUAUAUGCCAGUAACACUCAUUUUAACGCUACUUUAGUGGCAAAAAAUUGUAAACACCUCAGAUGCCUAUUAAAAGAGGAAUGGUUUAAAGAUACUAUUAUAGCCACACUAUGAAAUAUAAUACAGUAGUUAAGAAGAACGAGCUUGAUUUAUAUGUACUGACAAGAAGAAUCUAUAAGGUAUGUAAACAGUUGAAAAAAAAGCUACAGAGUUUUACAUUUGUCAAGAUCUAACACUAAACAAAAUUAGAAACAUGUGAAAUCCAUAUACACACGUAAAAAAAUACAUAUAAUGAGCCGUGGAUGGAAACUCGCAAAUGUGAUAUUAAAGACUAGCACUAUAAGACUGAGUGAGAUUUGGAGAGUAUCUCCCCAGCGGGGCACCUUGACCAAAGCCAUCAGCUGAACCACCUUCUUCCUGUCCCUAGGAAAAAACCCUGAUCCGUGGGCUAAGAAUCUGAAUGAAAAAGACUAUGAGUUGCUGUGCCUUGAUGGUACCAGGAAACCUGUGAAGGAGUAUGCGAACUGCCACCUGGCCAGAGCCCCGAAUCACGCUGUGGUCACACGGAAAGAUAAGGAAGCUUGCGUCCACAAGAUAUUACGUCAACAGCAGCACCUAUUUGGAAGCAACGUAACUGACUGCUCGGGCAACUUUUGUUUGUUCCGGUCGGAAACCAAGGACCUUCUGUUCAGAGAUGACACAGUAUGUUUGGCCAAACUUCAUGACAGAAACACAUAUGAAAAAUACUUAGGAGAAGAAUAUGUCAAGGCUGUUGGUAACCUGAGAAAAUGCUCCACCUCAUGUGAGUAGGAGGAACAGCAUGGGGAAGUGGCAACCAAACAUGGUGGUGAGUGCUGGGGUGGUGGGUACAGGAGGGGUAGGCUGUGGCCCUUGGGAUAGGACAACAUGGACAAAAUGAAAUGGUGAGUGAACAAUCUAAGCCCGGCACGUAUGACAGGCUAGACUGUAAGGGGAUACAGGCUCAGAGCACUAAGGUAGUGAACUUAUUGGGCAUAGAGAAUUCCAUCUUAUUUCUAAGAAAAGGACUGGGUUUAUGUGUACAUGCCAUUGCUCUGCAGUAAACUUUUGAUUAGAGUUGCCUUGUCCAAUAUGGUAGCCACCAGCAAGAUGUGACUAUUUAAAUUUAAGUUAAUUAAAAUUAAACUAAAUAAAAGAUGUAUUUCUUCAAUCCCACCUAGCUGCAUUUCAAGUGCUCAACAGCCACAUGUGGCUCCAUAUUGGUCAGCAAAGAGAAUGUUUGCAUCAUCACAGAAAGCUCUUUCAGACAGUGCUGCUCUAGACAGCUUCAACAAUGAUAGGAUAGGUUCUAGUAACCAUAAAGUUGCUAUGCAUACUACUCAUUUGGAACACCAGUUUCUGAGAACUGAAAUAGAAUAAAACACAUCUUUGCAGUAUAACUAUGUUGGGUGUAACUGAGUCACCUGAAAAAGUUUGGAAGCUGGGGAAUAACAUGUGGUGGUGUAGGGCAGUUAGUCUUUCCACAGGAGUAUGCAGAUAAGGGAGUCUUGAUCCUUAUUAAAAUGCUGAUUCUCAGAGCCUUGAGAUACUGAUUUAGAAAGUCUGUGCUAGGUCAGGUAUCCGCAUUUUAAAAGCUGCCCCCAUGUAAUUCUGACGGAAGCAGCAAUGUGCUUGUCUAGGUUCGCUAUUGUGAGAAUCAAGUUGAUAUUUACCUAACCUAUAUCCUCCACAAAAGCAGACAGUCUGGCUCUGCUCUUCUUUCCUCCAUCCUUAGCCCACAGCACAGAAACUGGCACAUUGCAGGUGCUUUUUGCUAUGUCAGUUCCUCACCUGCUUAAAGAGGUCAGGGAGGACAGUCUUCCUGGGCGACUCCCGGCCUCAGGAACUCAGAUGUGUGAGCCUCACCCAUAAGAAACAAGGUGGAGGACCCUGUAGGGCAGGAAAAUCAUGUUAACAGCUUUGGCGUGGGGCACUCCCCAGGAUAGGCACAGGAGCUGCGCAGGCAAGUAGAAAAGAGCCCUGGGAGAAUGGCCUAGUUCACGGAAGAGGAGGCAGCAAGUCUGCACACUUUGUACUAUGCUGAAAUUGUUCAAUCACUCGACAGUUCAGAAAUAAAUAUAGGAAGAUUUUGAAAAUCCUACCUCUCUGCUCUGCUCCACAGCACUCCUGGAAGCCUGCACUUUCCGUAGACCUUAAAAUCUCAGAGGUAGGGCUGCCACCAAGGUGAAGAUGGGAACGCAGAUGAUCCAUGAGUUUGCCCUGGUUUCACUGGCCCGAGUGGUUUGUGCUAACCACGUCUGUCUUCACAGCUCUGUGUUGCCAUGUGUGCUGAACAAAAAAUAAAAAUUAUUAUUGAUUUU